UGACCUGAUAGCUCAGCUGGGAGAGCGCUAUCUUGACAGGGUAGAGGUCACAGGUUCGAUCCCUGUUCAGGUCAU
rnacentral:tRNA from 1 species